AGAGUUUGAUCCUGGCUCAGAUUGAACGCUGGCGGCAGGCCUAACACAUGCAAGUCGGGCGGUAACACGGGGAGCUUGCUCCUGGGUGACGAGCGGCGGACGGGUGAGUAAUGUCUGGGAAACUGCCUGAUGGAGGGGGAUAACUACUGGAAACGGUAGCUAAUACCGCAUAAUGUCGCAAGACCAAAGAGGGGGACCUUCGGGCCUCUUGCCAUCAGAUGUGCCCAGAUGGGAUUAGCUAGUAGGUGGGGUAACGGCUCACCUAGGCGACGAUCCCUAGCUGGUCUGAGAGGAUGACCAGCCACACUGGAACUGAGACACGGUCCAGACUCCUACGGGAGGCAGCAGUGGGGAAUAUUGCACAAUGGGCGCAAGCCUGAUGCAGCCAUGCUGCGUGUAUGAAGAAGGCCUUCGGGUUGUAAAGUACUUUCAGCGGGGAGGAAGGUGUUGUGGUUAAUAACCACAGCAAUUGACGUUACCCG
rnacentral:rRNA from 1 species